rnacentral:rRNA from 1 species
CUUCGUAUGGGGAGCGGAGGAC